GAUGAACGCUGGCGGCGUGCCUAAUACAUGCAAGUCGAGCGAAUGGAUUAAGAGCUUGCUCUUAUGAAGUUAGCGGCGGACGGGUGAGUAACACGUGGGUAACCUGCCCAUAAGACUGGGAUAACUCCGGGAAACCGGGGCUAAUACCGGAUAACAUUUUGAACCGCAUGGUUCGAAAUUGAAAGGCGGCCUCGGCUGUCACUUAUGGAUGGACCCGCGUCGCAUUAGCUAGUUGGUGAGGUAACGGCUCACCAAGGCAACGAUGCGUAGCCGACCUGAGAGGGUGAUCGGCCACCCUGGGACUGAGACACGGCCCAGACUCCUGCGGGAGGCAGCAGUAGGGAAUCUUCCGCAAUGGACGAAAGUCUGACGGAGCAACGCCGCGUGAGUGAUGAAGGCUUUCGGGUCGUAAAACUCUGUUGUUAGGGAAGAACAAGUGCUAGUUGAAUAAGCUGGCACCUUGACGGUACCUAACCAGAAAGCCACGGCUAACUACGUGCCAGCCGCCGCAGUAA
rnacentral:rRNA from 1 species